GCAGCCCCGGGCUGCGGGCUCCUCGGACGCCCGCCUCCGCGGGGGCCCCCACCCUCUCCCUCCUGGGGGCACGCUCGGCCUCCCCACCCUUGCUGGCCUGCUCCCGGGCUCGCCCUCCUCCCCACGCCCCCUGCCUGGGCUUCAGCUCCUAUAGGAAGGGCAUUACCAUCCCAUCCCCACCCACCCGGGCUCUCAGCUCUCUCCCCUCCCCCUCUUUAACUUCCUCUUCUUCCCCGGUUGGGCCCUCGGCUUCUCUGCACUCUCCUCCCCAGUUCGCAGAUUUCCGCCCACCUUCCGCCUAGGCUAGCCGCACAGCAGCUAGCGGGGUGUUAUUUUCCCCCCCCUCUGGUAGGAGUUAGUGAAGGUGAGACUCAUGAGGGAAUACAAGGUGGUGGUGUUAGGGAGCGGAGGGGUUGGCAAGUCUGCCCUCACUGUGCAGUUUGUCACUGGGACUUUCAUUGAGAAAUAUGACCCCACCAUUGAAGAUUUCUACCUCAUAGAGAUCGAAGUGGACUCUUCCCCCUCCGUGCUGGAAAUUCUGGACACCGCAGGAACUGAGCAGUUCGCCUCCAUGAGAGAUCUCUACAUCAAAAACGGCCAAGGUUUCAUCCUGGUUUACAGUCUGGUUUAUCAGCAGUCUUUUCAGGAUAUCAAGCCAAUGAGAGAUCAGAUUGUCAGAGUGAAGAGAUACGAAAAAGUCCCACUAAUCCUAGUAGGAAAUAAAGUGGAUCUGGAACCAGAAAGAGAGGUUAUGUCUUCAGAAGGCAGAGCUCUGGCUCAAGAAUGGGGCUGCCCUUUUAUGGAGACAUCGGCAAAAAGUAAAUCAAUGGUGGAUGAACUUUUUGCUGAGAUCGUCAGGCAAAUGAACUAUUCAUCCCUGCCCGAGAAGCAAGAUCAGUGUUGUACAACUUGUGUUGUCCAGUAAAAAAGAUAACCUCAAUCAUGGCCAUACCGAGCAGAGGGACCUACCAUCAAGUGCUUUGAAGGACUCCUUUUACUGUGUAGCAGCAGUACAAUAGAAACCCAGAUAAAACUCAGAGGAAAUUUGCACAGAUGCUGCUUUGGAGAACUUUACAACCUGGGUUGCAGAACUGAGCCUUGGUAAACCUGUCUCUAUUACAGCAUGUUGCCAUACAUCUACUUAAGUGCAUAAGGUCUUUGGCCUUCAAGAUCCAUCGACCUUAAAUGGGAAUGCUUAGCACGUUUACCAUACGUUUAAAAUCUGUUCUUUAUCAAUCAGUCCUUUUAUAGCUUUCUAAGUUCUUAUUGAUGGCUAAUAUGCAAGGGUUAAUUUUUAAUAUUUUAAUUGAUUUCUUUAAUCAGUUUCUCAACUUGUAUUUAUUAAAUACUCAAACUCAGUAUUACCUACUCAAUGCCUUUUAAAAGAAAGUUAUAAUGGAGAAAAAAAUUGAGCCUUAAACAAAUGGUUACUUCUGUAUAUUACCUCGUACCAGUGCUUCAUCCUAUUUGUAAAAUCUUUCUCCUUUAAAUGGUUGGUUAAUACUUUGAGACUUUGUUUACGUGUGGCAGUGUUGUAAAAAGUAACUAAAGAUCACAUUUUACCUGUAUGGAUGGAAUAUCCCUUUUCUUCAAGGGCAGUUUGUGAUGUGUUUUUGUAAUUAACUAACAUGUUCUGAAAGUGACAAUUGAUAUUUGAAAUUGACUGUAGACCAUUUAGUUGAAGAGUUAAGCAUUCAAUUCCAUUAGGUUUUCACAUGUGUUAAUCUCAUUUACAGCAUCAAAUUGCGAAUUGCGGCAGUAACAUUUUCCUUUCUGUGAAGUUCUAAAUUUAGUUAUGACCUACUUAGCAAUGCCUUUGAAAAGGGAUAUUGUAUCCAUGGUAAAUUAAUUGUAUACCUAAACAGAGAUAGCUCAGCUUUGCCUGUCAGGCUUGUAAUUGACAUCUAGUAGACUUCUGCACAUGUAAAAUUGAAUUCAAAUAAAAUCAUAUAUACUUUCUAGUUCUUACUAUUUGUCUUUCUGAAUAAUAGUUUAAAGCAAUAUUUGUUAAAGUUUUCUUGCACUAUCACAAUUGCUUUUUAGUUAUUUUGCAAGAAGCAUGUUCGUAGUAGAGACAAAAUCUGUGUAACAGGAGGGAGGAUAGCACCAAGUCUCUGGGCUAUUUUUUAUUUUUGCAAAUGUGCUUUCUAAUAGCCAUUGCCUUCCAUGUUGUUUACCUAAUCAGCACAUUUUGUCUGAAUACUUGAACAUUUUAACAGUAACACAGGUAUAGAAACAGAAAGGAAACUUCUAGAAUGAGUAACGUUUUGGUUCAGUUUUAACAUCACGAGGAGCGCUUUUUCUAGCAAUGAUCUUUAAAUUAUGUAAGUUUGACAGUAUUUUUUGUCGUUUUAAUUUGACUUUAGUUGUGUGCUUUUAAUUUGCAGAAGUUAGUAACUGCAGCUCACCUACUGCACCAAAGUUCUCGAUUUUAGGAGCCCAGCUUUAGUCAUUUGAACAUGCUUCUAAAUAAAACAAAACAAAACAAACCAAAACUAUACUUUUGAUCUAUACGAAUAGCUCAAUAACUUUGUCAAGGAAAGCUCUAAUAUAUGCAGUGAUGGUUUAUGGAAGGGUGUGGCAAUUUAAAAUUUAUAUUGUGUGUGAUGUUCAAAUAAAGUGAUAUCUACAUUCAUGUGAUUUAUUGGUCAGCAUGGCCAUUAAUUAUUGAGUAGAAAUUGAUUAAACUUUGAUUUCCUUUUUUUAAAUCGUGUUGCAUUUGAUUCCUGAUAAAAUUCCCUCAAAGUGAACUCUGGUUCUUAACAUUUGGAUUUUAUAGUGAGAUUGUAAGGGUAGAGGCAAUUGAAACAUUGUUCCUUAUUUAUAAACUGCUUAAAAUGAAUAUUUAAGUUUGCACUUUAAUACCAAACUUAAAACCAAACACUCAUUUCAAAGUAGGUGACGUGAUAGUGGUUCAUCUUUACUAGCUGUGUAAAAUUCUAAAGGAAUCAAAUAAUUCAUGAUGAUUUAAAUUUUCUGCAGAUUAUUCAUUUUUUAGACAGUGUUUCUUUCCUACAGUAUUCUCUCCCUCUCCUCUCUGUCUCUCUGUCUCUCUCUCUCAAUUACAGUGUUCAUUGUCAUUGACCUCAGCAGCAAAUUUAACUUGAAUUCACUUAGGAUCACAGGAAUCAGGGGAAAGUGAUUUUUAAAGAUGGUUUCUCCAGCACAUUUUAAGAAAAGGGACCAAAAGUUAUUUUAGCUUCCUCAAUAGAUUGCAUGUUGCUUAUUAGGAUAAUAAAUUAAUAUUAAAUGCAAUAUAUGUCUUGUCUUUACUAUGGCAUCUGUUUAGGAGUUGUUCAAAUCACUGCAGUAGGGCUCUGCAAAUAAAAUCAUGUAAUCUAUUAUCAUCCAUCUAAUGUACUGUAACUUUAUCCGUGAGAGGUCAAAUCGCGAAUAACAAGUACAAACAUUGAACAAUUACCUAUAAAGAUUUGUAAAAGUAAAAUUUUUCCAAUAGAUUUCAUUCUUGUCAUUUUGUAAGACGACCCUGCAGUCCACCUGUUUGUAACUUUUUUAAUAAAAUAGACAUCUGUA